UACGUAGGGCGCAAGCGUUGUCCGGAAUUAUUGGGCGUAAAGAGCUCGUAGGCGGUUUGUCGCGUCUGUCGUGAAAGCUUGGGGCUUAACCCCAAGUCUGCGGUGGAUACGGGCAGACUAGAGGCAGGUAGGGGAGAACGGAAUUCCCGGUGUAGCGGUGAAAUGCGCAGAUAUCGGGAGGAACACCAGUGGCGAAGGCGACUUCCUGGCCUGUUCUUGACGCUGAGGCGCGAAAGCUAGGGGAGCAAACGGG
rnacentral:rRNA from 1 species